CCUACGGGAGGCAGCAGUGAGGAAUAUUGGUCAAUGGACGAGAGUCUGAACCAGCCAAGUAGCGUGAAGGAUGACUGCCCUAUGGGUUGUAAACUUCUUUUAUAUGGGAAUAAAACGUUCCACGUGUGGGAUUUUGUAUGUACCAUAUGAAUAAGGAUCGGCUAACUCCGUGCCAGCAGCCGCGGUAAUACGGAGGAUCCGAGCGUUAGCCGGAUUUAUUGGGUUUAAAGGGAGCGUAGGUGGAUUGUUAAGUCAGUUGUGAAAGUGUGCGGCUCAACCGUAAAAUUGCAGUUGAAACUGGCAGUCUUGAGUACAGUAGAGGUGGGCGGAAUUCGUGGUGUAGCGGUGAAAUGCUUAGAUAUCACGAAGAACUCCGAUUGCGAAGGCAGUUCACUGGACUGCAACUGACACUGAGGCUCGAAAGUGUGGGUAUCAAACAGGAUUAGAGACCCGGGUAGUC
rnacentral:rRNA from 1 species